rnacentral:rRNA from 1 species
AUUGAACGCUGGCGGCAUGCCUUACACAUGCAAGUCGAACGGCAGCACGGGUGCUUGCACCUGGUGGCGAGUGGCGAACGGGUGAGUAAUACAUCGGAACAUUUCCUGAAGUGGGGGUAAGCCCGGCGAAGGCCGUAUUAAUACCCCAAAGGAUCUACGGAUGAAACCGGGGGACCUACGGGCCUCGCGCUAUGGGGUGGCCCGAUGGUGGUUUAGCUAGUUGGUGGGGUAAAGGCCUACCAAGGCGACGAUCAGUAGCUGACCUGAGAGGACGACCAGCCACACUGGGACUGAGACACGGCCCAGACUCCUACGGGAGGCAGCAGUGGGGAAUUUUGGACAAUGGGCGAAAGCCUGAUCCAGCAAUGCCGCGUGUGUGAAGAAGGCCUUCGGGUUGUAAAGCACUUUUGUCCGGAAAGAAAUCCUUGGCCCUAAUACGGUCGGGGGAUGACGGUACCGGAAGAAUAAGCACCGGCUAACUACGUG